UACGAAGGGGGCUAGCGUUGUUCGGAUUUACUGGGCGUAAAGCGCACGUAGGCGGACUAUUAAGUCAGGGGUGAAAUCCCGGGGCUCAACCCCGGAACUGCCUUUGAUACUGGUGGUCUAGAGUCCGGAAGAGGUGAGUGGAAUUCCGAGUGUAGAGGUGAAAAUUCGUAGAUAUUCGGAGGAACACCAGUGGCGAAGGCGGCUCACUGGUCCGGUACUGACGCUGAGGUGCGAAAGCGUGGGGAGCAAACAGG
rnacentral:rRNA from 1 species